rnacentral:lncRNA from 1 species
GUUAUUUAAGGUAUGUUAAGCCUAUUUCACUAUUCCGGAGUGUUUGUCGCCUUAAACUGACUGCGUUUACACACCAGUUUGCGUAUAACUUUCCAGAAAGCGAUUUAGAGCUCGAAAUCGAACAAGAAUUUGAUAUGUGCAAACGAUACACAUAUUUUCACAAAUCCCAAGUAUGAAACACAAAAUUUCAUUGGUUUGGUAUUUGUUCGAUGGUCUUGGAGGCACAGAUGAUUGUUUAAAAUUGAGGCUUUGGAGUUUGAGACAACGGAGAAUAAUUGAGGUAUAA